CCAAUUCUUAAACCCUCGUGCAAACUUCACCCUCACCCUUCGCUCACGAUUUUGACAUCCAUCCUCAAUCCGACCACCACGUCCCGUAUCCGAACAUCGUCGACCAUCUCCAACAGACACAUAAUGGGAAUCAACAGAUCAAGAGCUUAGAGAUUCAAGAGAUUAAGCUUUUACAACUUCCUUCUGUUUGUCACUUGAAAAGCUUCGGUAUUAGCUAUUGCCCAAAUGAAUACCACACAGUGAUAGAUGGAUCAGAUUCAGUACUCUGAGAAGUACUUCGACAACAUUUAUGAGUACAAGCACGUGGUUCUCCUACCCGAAGUGGCAAAGUUGCUUCCUAAGAGUCGUCUGCUCUCGGAAGCCAAAGAGAUUGGAACGGUAUAAAUGAAUCUCAAUGGCCUGGGUAUUGAGAAGUUUGGCUCUUUAUUCAUUGGAACUUCAUUUUGUGCAAAUAUUGUGUAAUUCAUUUGGUACAACUUUUGGGAAACAAAUUUCUUCUAUAAUAUAACAAGCUAAAGACAAGAUCAACCUCCCAAGAUCCUAGCUAAAAGGUUCAACCGGAGUCGACAACUUCAUGAGUUUUCUUUCAAAGAAUAUUUUCAGAGACGGACA